UGUCGAAUUUGCCUCUAGCCUUUCCUGACAACCUUAGAAAGCACUGAGGGAAAAUUUGAUAGAUUCAUUUGUAUACAUUCAGAUUUGAAGACUUCUGCUCCGAUUUCAACAUCGCCAUAUAAAACAAAUUAUGUUUCUGCUUCUUAAACAAAGCUGUUGGAGAAUGUGCACACCAAAAUAAGGGAAUAAGUAAAGGAGGAAGAAGACCCUGGGUUCAGGAAUAAGGAGGAAACAGGUUCAAGAUUACGUGACUUGACAAGGACACACACAAUGGCAGAGCUGUAACUGGACUCUAAAUCUUGAUUGACCUCACUGCAUUUGCUCUUUUCACUGUGCCACGGGAGAAAAAAGCCUGCCCCACUCUGCCAUUCUUCACUCUGAGGCCUGAGUAAUCAUGCCAAAAUGCAUGGCCCAACCUCUGGCUGGCUUCCAAGCCCACCCUGCGUCACCACUGCUCUCUGUGCCACAGCCACACCAACCUCCUUUCAGUCCUCAGAUGACCUACCAAAGGGCUCAAAAAAAAAAAAGAAAAGAAACAGGAGCCUGCUCUGUCACACGGGCUGGAGGGCAGUGGAGUGAUCAUAGCUCACUACAGCCUUGAAUUCCUGGGCUCAAGCAAUCCUCCCGCCUCAGCCUCCUGAGUAGCUAGGACUACAGGGCUGCACCACCAUGCCCAGCUAAUUUUUAAAAUAUUUUUAUAGAGAUGGGGUCUUGCUAUGUUGCCCAGGCUGAUCUUGAACUCCUGGUCUCAAGCAAUCCUCCUGCCUAGGCCUCCUAAAGUGCUGGGAUUACAGGCAUGAGCCACUGUUCUAGGGCCCAAAGGGCUUUUUUUGUGUCCAUGCUCUUCCUUCUGCCUAGAGGCUUCUCUUCCCCCUUAGCCUAGUUCACUGCUAUUCAUCCUUCUGAUCUAGCAUAAGUGUUACUUCCUCAAAGAAGCCCCCACCCACCCCAUUCUUGGCCCUAGAGUGUGUUCUUUGUUUCAGAGUCCUCACUUGUGAUAACUAGAGUGAUUUUAUGAUUAAUGUCUACCUCCCCAUCUAGACUGCAAACUCCGUGAGUGCAGGGACAAUGGGGCUUUUUUUGCUCACUAAUGUCUCCAGGGCCCAGUACAGUGCCUAGGACUAAGUAGGUACCCAAUUUAAAAUUGCUGAAUGAAUGUAUAUAGGACAUGUAUGUGGUAGCACUUGGUGGACAGUUGGAUAUAUGGUAUCCCUAGCCCAGGAGAAAGAUUUGGGCUAAAAAAAUCAGAUUUAAGAGUUAUUAGUACAUAAGUGGUCACUGAUGUUAUCAUCCAGAAAGGGUGAGAAAAAUAUAACAAGAGGCCAGGCACUGUGGCUCACGCCUGUAAGCCUGGCACUUUGGGAGGCUGAGGCAGGUGGAUUUCAUGAGGCCAGGAGUUUGAGACCAGCCUGGCCAACAUGGUGAAACCCUGUCUCUACUAAAAAUACAAAAAUUAGCCAUGUGUGGUGGUGCAUGCCUGUAGUCCCAGCUACUUGCGAGGUCGAGGCAUGAGAAUUGCUUGAACCGGGAGGCGGAGGUUGCAGUGAGCUGAGAUCAUGCCACUGCACUCCAGCCUGGCAACAGAGCGAGACUCCAUCUCAAAAAUAAACAAGCAAACAAACAAACAAACAAAAUACAAAAAUUAAGCUGGGAGUGGCGGUGCAUGCCUGUAGUCCCAGCUACUUGGGAGGCUGAGGCAGGAGAAUCACUUGAACCUGGGAGGCAGAGGUUGCAGGGAGCUGAGAUGGCACCACUACACUCCAGCUUGGGCCACAGAGUGAGACUCUGUCUCAAAAAAAAAAAAAAAAAAGGUUAAUAAGGAGAAUAUGCCACGCAAAGGGAAACCACAUGCACAGAGGCACACGGGUGAGACAGUCUGAUCUAAAUUUAAUGUGACUGAAGUUUGGUAAAGCCUUUUACCAAAUAUUGAGAGAUGCAAAAAGAAAUGUAAAUUAUGAAGAGUUUAGUGCCAUGCUCAUUAAAUUGUCUUUAAAAUGUUGGGUAAUUUUAAGCAGAACAGUGAUUGGAUCUGGCAGCAGUGGUGGGAUGGAAUGGAGCUGGGCAAAUCGAGGGGCGGGGAGCAGUUAAGAGGCAAUUAAUCAAAGCAAGGAGUAAAGAAGGACUGAAAUAAAGCAAGAGUGGCAAAAAUGGAAAGAAAUGGAUUCAAGACAUAUUUAUAAAAUGUGUAUAAUCAAUGAACAAUUGUACUUCUAGAAAAUUACUUUUACAUAUAAUUGCAUGAGUGCUCAAAGAUAAAUGAAUAAAGAUGUUUAUUACAGCAUUUAUUGCAAUAAUUAAAAAUUGGAAACACUCUAUAAGUAUAUCAAUAUGGGAUUGAUUAAUUAAAUUAAGGUGUAAUUAAUCAGAUAACUUUUGACAAGAACUAUGUAUAAAGAUAAAAAUGAGCUAUCAACUAAAUAAAUUAUAGAUAUUAUGUAUAAUACCACAUUUUAGUUUAAGUGUAUAUAAUAUAUAUGUAUGUUGUGUGUUGGUAUAUACAUUGAAAGAAAUUCUGGAAGGAUUUAUACAAAGGCUGUCAACCAUGUUUGUCUUUGGGGAAUAAGAUCAGAGGUGAUGGGCUUUCGAUUUCUAAUUUAUAAACCUGUGGCUGGGUGCGGUGGUUUACGCCUGUAAUCCCAGCACUUUGGGAGGCCAAGGCGGGCGGAUUACCUGUCUUGAUACCACCAAAAGGAAAUUUUAGAUUACCUUUAGAUAAUGUUCCACGUUAUCUAGGAAUUUAGCUUAAAAGGUAUAAUUAUAGGGAUUUAAUUUCUUUUAAGGUUAUUUGUGGCCGGGCGCAGUAGCUCACGCCUGUAAUCCCAACACUUUGGGAGGCCGAGGAGGGUUGAUCACUUGAGGUCAGGAGUUCGAGACCAGCCUAGCCAACAUGGUGAAAGCCCAUGUCUAAUAAAAAUACUAAAAUUAGCCGGGUAUGGUGGUGGGUGCCUGUAAACACAGCUACUUGGGAGGCUGAGGCAGGAGAAUCGCUUGAACCUGGGGGGUGGAGGUUGCGGUGAACCGAGACUGCGCCACUGCACUCCAGUCUG